CCCAUCACCAUCAACAUCAGCUUCACGGAUCAUCUCAUCAACUUCCUCAUCUGUAAGCUUCUCACCGAGAUUUGUCAUGACAUGGCGAAGCUCAGCAGCAGAUAUGAAACCAUUCUGGUCCUUGUCAAACACCCUGAAAGCCUCUUUAAGUUCUUCCUCGGAAUCAGUAUCCUUCAUCUUCCUUGCCAUUAGGUUAAGGAAUUCAGGAAAAUCAAUGGUCCCAUUUCCAUCAGCAUCAACUUCAUUGAUCAUAUCUUGGAGUUCUGCCUCAGUAGGGUUCUGACCAAGUGAC
rnacentral:lncRNA from 1 species